CAACCUUGUACCUAAUGACUAUGGUUUUCUUGCGGUAGAGAAGGUAAGUAAUGAUUUGAUUAUUGUGUUCGAAUUUGUCUAUUUUGCUUUUACCUCUAUAUACUACUGCUUUACUUUCUAGGGUUUUAAGAAAGAAACCCGUUAAUGUCCUCGAUUCAAUAUGAGGCUUUGGAGUAUCUACAUAAAAAUGAAGGCCAAUCUGUGAUCCAUCGCGAUGUAAAAUCAUCAAAUGUUUUGUUAUCUGAGGAUUUUGAACCCCAGCUCUCUGACUUUGGACUUGCAAAAUGGGCAUCAACUUCAUCAUCACACAUAAUCUGCAUAGAUGUUGCUGGAACCUUUGGUUACAUGGCUCCUGAGUACUUCAUGUAUGGCAAAGUAAAUGACAAGAUUGCUUGUACGUGGAGAGAGCAUUUGGGGUUCUUCCAUCAUCAGUGGCCAAGUUCUUCUGGCGAAUAUACUACACUCGUGAGGCCAAAGCCUACUUGCAAGAUGUUGCAAACAAAAACAAUUCCAUAGGGAGGGGGCACUCUAAACCAAUUUGAUACCUGUAGCCAUGCCAUCACUACACCGACCUCUGAAAAAUAUGACAGCAUCAAAAACACCUCAGUGUGGAGUUUGGAGCAGGCUAGACACAACCAUCCAAAUAGGGAAGUUGUCUAACUUACCCUUCGCUUUGAAUUGUUAUUCUGUUUUAGCCUGUAAGUGAUAAUAUCGAAUGAAUAUCUUGCUGAUUUUGGUGUGAAAGUUAACUGUGCAGUAUACUUAGAACAGUUUGGGAUCAAAUAGGAAUUAUUCAAUGCUUCAGUUGCACAAGACCCGAGUGAAAGGGAAGUUGUUUGCUUAAAUUGUUUUGUAUGACUUGCAAUUAUUGGAAUUGGAAUUGUUUGAUCUGCUAAUUUUGAGUGAAUUCUUGUGCAGCAGAUUUCAAUUUGGAAGCAAAGGCAAUUCCUUCAGCUGCAUCAAGUGUCGAGACCAAGAUAAAAGGGAAUGGAGAAUCAAAUAAAAAGAAGUGAAUCUAGAAGCUAAACAAGCUUAAAGCUGCUAGAAACAACAGCAACGUGCACGUGAUUCUUCAUGGAAAAAUGAGCAAGGACCUGGACCGUAGCAGCUUAGUGGACAGCCAGAUUUGGG